CACUGGAAGCCUUUUUUUUUCAUUUUGGCGAAGGGGCCACAGAGGAGGACAUGAUGGCCGGUGGCUGCACAGAAAUAAGCAGUGGCUGGGAUGACCAUUCACUCAGAACUGAGGGGAAUCUAACAAUCAGUUAUGGGAGAUGGGAAGCAUCCAGCAUGCUGUGGUAGAACCAGAAAUCACAGAGGGACUCUGCCUGCCUCAUAUUGACAGUGGACUGC